rnacentral:rRNA from 1 species
AUUGAACGCUGGCGGCAUGCCUUACACAUGCAAGUCGAACGGUAACAGGUCUUCGGCUGCUGACAAGUGGCGAACGGGUGAGUAAUACAUCGGAACGUGCCCGAUCGUGGGGGAUAACGAGGCGAAAGCUUUGCUAAUACCGCAUACGAUCUACGGAUGAAAGCGGGGGAUCUUCGGACCUCGCGCGGACGGAGCGGCCGAUGGCAGAUUAGGUAGUUGGUGGGAUAAAAGCUUACCAAGCCGACGAUCUGUAGCUGGUCUGAGAGGAUGAUCAGCCACACUGGGACUGAGACACGGCCCAGACUCCUACGGGAGGCAGCAGUGGGGAAUUUUGGACAAUGGGCGAAAGCCUGAUCCAGCCAUGCCGCGUGCAGGAUGAAGGCCUUCGGGUUGUAAACUGCUUUUGUACGGAACGAAAAGCCUCUUUCUAAUAAAGAGGGGUCAUGACGGUACCGUAAGAAUAAGCACCGGCUAACUACGUG